CAUACAAUUUUUAUCGAUUGAAAAUAGUACAUUAUGUAAUAAGGGAAUAGUCGACUUUUAUUCCUGUGUUACAUAUAGUACUUUAUUUCCGACUCAACUCUGGCCACA